rnacentral:rRNA from 1 species
UGGGGAAUAUUGCACAAUGGAGGGAACUCUGAUGCAGCGACGCCGCGUGAACGAAGAAGGCUUUCGAGUCGUAAAGUUCUUUUAUAUGGGAAGAUAAUGACGGUACCAUAAGAAAAAGCCCCUGCUAACUACGUGCCAGCAGCCGCGGUAAUACGUCGGGGGCUAGCGUUGUCCGGAAUCACUGGGCGUAAAGGGUUCGCAGGCGGAAAUGCAAGUCAGGUGUAAAAGGCAGUAGCUUAACUACUGUAAGCAUUUGAAACUGCAUAUCUUGAGAAGAGUAGAGGUAAGUGGAAUUUUUAGUGUAGCGGUGAAAUGCGUAGAUAUUAAAAAGAAUACCGGUGGCGAAGGCGACUUACUGGGCUCAUUCUGACGCUGAGGAACGAAAGCGUGGGUAGCAAACAGG